UUGUACCUACGGGAGGCAGCAGUAGGGAAUCUUCCACAAUGGGCGAAAGCCUGAUGGAGCAGCGCCGCGUGAAGGAAGACGGUUUUCGGAUUGUAAACUUCUUUUCUUAGUGAAGAAGCAAGUGACGGUAGCUAAGGAAUAAGCAUCGGCUAACUACGUGCCAGCAGCCGCGGUAAUACGUAGGAUGCGAGCGUUAUCCGGAAUUACUGGGUGUAAAGGGAGCGCAGGCGGGACUGCAAGUUGGAUGUGAAAUACCGCAGCUUAACUGCGGAGCUGCAUCCCAAACUGUAGUUCUUGAGGGGAGG
rnacentral:rRNA from 1 species